CCAGACUCCUACGGGAGGCAGCAGUGGGGGAUAUUGCACAAUGGGGGGAACCCUGAUGCAGCGACGCCGCGUGGGUGAAGAAGUAUUUCGGUAUGUAAAGCCCUAUCGGCAGGGAAGAAAUUGGACGGUACCUGACUAAGAAGCCCCGGCUAACUACGUGCCAGCAGCCGCGGUAAUACGUAGGGGGCAAGCGUUAUCCGGAUUUACUGGGUGUAAAGGGGGCGCAGACGGCGAUGCAAGCCAGGAGUGAAAGCCCGGGGCCCAACCCCGGGACUGCUCUUGGAACUGCGUGGCUGGAGUGCAGGAGGGGCAGGCGGAAUUCCUGGUGUAGCGGUGAAAUGCGUAGAUAUUAGGAGGAACACCAGUGGCGAAGGCGGCCUGCUGGACGAUGACUGACGUUGAGGCUCGAAAGCGUGGGGAGCAAACAGGAUUAGAUACCCGAGUA
rnacentral:rRNA from 1 species